ACCUUUGAAAAUUGGUCCUUAGUGGAAGAAACCAGAGGAGUUUGCCUUGUUUGAGCAACAAUUGAAGCAGGAAAAGCUUAAAAAAUCGAACCAUCAGCUUCAUUGUUCAUUAGCAGGCCUCUCAUCAACCGAAGUGCUGCCUCAGCCAAAUCUCUUGAGUCAAAAACUUGAAGUCCAAUCUUCCUCAGCUGAGUUGGAUUGUAUGCGACUUCAAUCCAAAGCAAGUCCUGUUGUUAUUCCAGCCUGUGUUUAACAAUGUUGUCUAAGUUAUUAGGAAGGUUAUUUAAGACAGUUCAUCAUGUUGGCAACUAACAUUGAUCCUUUAAUGUCUAGUCAUUACAAUGUGAAUUAGAAUGGUAACGAAGACUACAUGUUAGCUGCUCAACACGCAACUUAGACGUUUGGAUUGCUCAUGUAAAGCUGGUGUUGCAUGUAGUCUAUCAACUAUUUGUCCUGCAAACUCUUGGGGUAGUAUAUGGACCAUCAAGAAAUGCUUUAUUCUCCUCUCCAACCGACGUGGGAUCUCACAUGUGCGAGAUUAAAGGACAUUGUACAUUUAGUGUACGUGAGAUAUACGUCGAACUUCUAUUGAUAUAGUUGAGAGUAUCCAUUUGUAAUCCGUUAAGCUCUAUAUUUCAGGUCAACUUGAUCUGUAUAUAUCUUUUUAUUAAGACGUUUUCAAAUUGGUUAA